ensembl:lncRNA
CCAGAGAGUGGAGCUGAGGAACAUGGUGGUGGACCAGAGAAGGGAGCUGAGGAACAUGGUGGUGAACCAGAGAGUGGAGCUGAGGAACAUGGUGGUGGACCAGAGAGUGGAGCUGAGGAACAUGGUGGUGGAACUGAGAGAGGAGCUGAGGAACAUGGUGGUGGAGCUAAGAGAGGAGCUGAGGAACAUGGUGGUGGACCAGAGUGGAGCUGAGGAACAUGGUGGUGGAACAGCGAGUGGAAUUGAGGAACAUGGUGGUGGAACAGAGAGAGGAGCUGAGGAACAUGGUGGUGGGCCAGAGAGUGGAGCUGAGGAACAUUGGUGGUGGAGCUGAGGAUCACUAAGACUGAACUGCAGUUCUACAAGAACAAGGUGGAGGAACUGGAGAGAGAGAACACAGGAUUGCAGGACAGAGUGAGAGCCAGGUAGAUGAGCUGAAGACAGAAUGCAGGUGUCUUCAGUGCUCCAGUGAGAGGAGUACAUAGACUUUGGUUUGUUCAAGAAUGACCAGGGUGUAAUAUGGAAUGGACAGUACAAUAGUCACGGAAGGUGACAGUAUAUCUCCAAUUCUGGGACGCUAGAACUGGAGGAGGGGGCCUUGGUCUACAUGCGUAUUCCAUCAGGCUAAAGGAUCUACGAUGAUUCUAAUAAACACAGCUCCUUCAGUGACUUCCUGCUCUUUUCUAUGUGAGAUGAACACCACAAAAGUUGAAAUAAAAAGUCCAAUCUGUUCUUAUAACAUUCCAUGAAACAUUAUGACGGUAAAAUAAAAU